rnacentral:rRNA from 1 species
UGCCAGACUCCUACGGGAGGCAGCAGUGGGGAAUAUUGCACAAUGGGGGAAACCCUGAUGCAGCGACGCCGCGUGAGCGAUGAAGUAUUUCGGUAUGUAAAGCUCUAUCAGUAGGGAAGAAAAUGACGGUACCUGACUAAGAAGCCCCGGCUAACUACGUGCCAGCAGCCGCGGUAAUACGUAGGGGGCAAGCGUUAUCCGGAUUUACUGGGUGUAAAGGGAGCGUAGACGGCUGUGCAAGCCAGAUGUGAAAGCCCGGGGCUCAACCCCGGGACUGCAUUUGGAACUGUGUGGCUGGAGUGUCGGAGAGGCAGGCGGAAUUCCUAGUGUAGCGGUGAAAUGCGUAGAUAUUAGGAGGAACACCAGUGGCGAAGGCGGCCUGCUGGACGAUGACUGACGUUGAGGCUCGAAAGCGUGGGGAGCAAACAGGAUUAGAUACCCGCGUA